GCCUCGGUGGUGUAGCGGUAACACGCACCCCGACUGAGUGAAACGCGGGUUCAACUCCCGUCUGAGGCC